UUUAAGCUCCAAUAAACAUAAAAAUUUAGACAUAAAGACUUUUAAAACUUAAUCCUAAACAUAAAAAUUUCAUUCAAAGUUUUUUCAUCACAUACCAACAAAUAUAUUAUUCAUUCUCACAAUAAAAAUGUUCAAUUAACACCUCGACCAACAUAAAAUGAAAAAGAAAAAAAAAAGUCUCCACAAAAGUGUUACUUGUUAAAAAAAAUAAAAAAUCCAAAGAAGGUAGCUCACUCUCCUCCCUCGUCUAAGUUCUUUAAUAAGACCAAUAGUAAUAGUAAAUCAAGUGAUCAAAACCUUCCACACCAAAAACCAUUUUUCAUAAAAUGUUUGCUGACCAACUAAAAGAACAAUGACUUUGAUGGAAGAAGAAAC
rnacentral:lncRNA from 1 species